ACACUAUCGUUAACUGAAUACAUAGGUUAACGAGGCGAACCGGGGGAACUGAAACAUCUAAGUACCCCGAGGAAAAGAAAUCAACCGAGAUUCCCCCAGUAGCGGCGAGCGAACGGGGAGCAGCCCGGAGUCUGAAUCAGCUUGUGUGUUAGUGGAACGGUCUGGAAAGUCCGACGGUACAGGGUGAUAGUCCCGUACACGAAAGCACACUUGCUGUGAACUCGAAGAGUAGGGCGGGACACGUGGUAUCCUGUCUGAAUAUGGGGGGACCAUCCUCCAAGGCUAAAUACUCCUGACUGACCGAUAGUGAACCAGUACCGUGAGGGAAAGGCGAAAAGAACCCCGGCGAGGGGAGUGAAAAAGAACCUGAAACCGUGUACGUACAAGCAGUGGGAGCACCUUCGUGGUGUGACUGCGUACCUUUUGUAUAAUGGGUCAGCGACUUAUAUUCUGUAGCAAGGUUAACCGUAUAGGGGAGCCGAAGGGAAACCGAGUCUUAACUGGGCGUUAAGUUGCAGGGUAUAGACCCGAAACCCGGUGAUCUAGCCAUGGGCAGGUUGAAGGUUGGGUAACACUAACUGGAGGACCGAACCGACUAAUGUUGAAAAAUUAGCGGAUGACCUGUGGCUGGGGGUGAAAGGCCAAUCAAACCGGGAGAUAGCUGGUUCUCCCCGAAAGCUAUUUAGGUAGCGCCUCGUGAACUCAUCUUCGGGGGUAGAGCACUGUUUCGGCUAGGGGGCCAUCCCGGCUUACCAACCCGAUGCAAACUACGAAUACCGAAGAAUGUUAUCACGGGAGACACACGGCGGGUGCUAACGUCCGUCGUGAAGAGGGAAACAACCCAGACCGCCAGCUAAGGUCCCAAAGUCAUGGUUAAGUGGGAAACGAUGUGGGAAGGCACAGACAGCCAGGAUGUUGGCUUAGAAGCAGCCAUCAUUUAAAGAAAGCGUAAUAGCUCACUGGUCGAGUCGGCCUGCGCGGAAGAUGUAACGGGGCUAAACCAUGCACCGAAGCUGCGGCAGCGACACUAUGUGUUGUUGGGUAGGGGAGCGUUCUGUAAGCCGUUGAAGGUGUGCUGUGAGGCAUGCUGGAGGUAUCAGAAGUGCGAAUGCUGACAUAAGUAACGAUAAAGCGGGUGAAAAGCCCGCUCGCCGGAAGACCAAGGGUUCCUGUCCAACGUUAAUCGGGGCAGGGUGAGUCGACCCCUAAGGCGAGGCCGAAAGGCGUAGUCGAUGGGAAACAGGUUAAUAUUCCUGUACUUGGUGUUACUGCGAAGGGGGGACGGAGAAGGCUAUGUCAGCCGGGCGACGGUUGUCCCGGUUUAAGCAUGUAGGCGGAGGUUCCAGGUAAAUCCGGUACCUUAUUAACGCUGAGGUGUGAUGACGAGGCACUACGGUGCUGAAGUGAUAAAUGCCCUGCUUCCAGGAAAAGCCUCUAAGCAUCAGGUAACACGAAAUCGUACCCCAAACCGACACAGGUGGUCAGGUAGAGAAUACCAAGGCGCUUGAGAGAACUCGGGUGAAGGAACUAGGCAAAAUGGUGCCGUAACUUCGGGAGAAGGCACGCUGAUGUGUAGGUGAAGUCCCUGCGGACGGAGCUGAAAUCAGUCGAAGAUACCAGCUGGCUGCAACUGUUUAUUAAAAACACAGCACUGUGCAAACACGAAAGUGGACGUAUACGGUGUGACGCCUGCCCGGUGCCGGAAGGUUAAUUGAUGGGGUUAGCUGUAAGGCGAAGCUCUUGAUCGAAGCCCCGGUAAACGGCGGCCGUAACUAUAACGGUCCUAAGGUAGCGAAAUUCCUUGUCGGGUAAGUUCCGACCUGCACGAAUGGCGUAAUGAUGGCCAGGCUGUCUCCACCCGAGACUCAGUGAAAUUGAACUCGCUGUGAAGAUGCAGUGUACCCGCGGCAAGACGGAAAGACCCCGUGAACCUUUACUAUAGCUUGACACUGAACACUGGUCCUUGAUGUGUAGGAUAGGUGGGAGGCUUUGAAGCGUGGACGCCAGUCUGCGUGGAGCCGCCCUUGAAAUACCACCCUUUAAUGGCUGGUGUUCUAACGUAGACCCGUAAUCCGGGUUGCGGACAGUGUCUGGUGGGUAGUUUGACUGGGGCGGUCUCCUCCCAAAGAGUAACGGAGGAGCACGAAGGUUGGCUAAUCCUGGUCGGACAUCAGGAGGUUAGUGCAAUGGCAUAAGCCAGCUUGACUGCGAGCGUGACGGCGCGAGCAGGUGCGAAAGCAGGUCAUAGUGAUCCGGUGGUUCUGAAUGGAAGGGCCAUCGCUCAACGGAUAAAAGGUACUCCGGGGAUAACAGGCUGAUACCGCCCAAGAGUUCAUAUCGACGGCGGUGUUUGGCACCUCGAUGUCGGCUCAUCACAUCCUGGGGCUGAAGUAGGUCCCAAGGGUAUGGCUGUUCGCCAUUUAAAGUGGUACGCGAGCUGGGUUUAGAACGUCGUGAGACAGUUCGGUCCCUAUCUGCCGUGGGCGCUGGAGAAUUGAGGGGGGCUGCUCCUAGUACGAGAGGACCGGAGUGGACGCAUCACUGGUGUUCGGGUUGUCAUGCCAAUGGCACUGCCCGGUAGCUAAAUGCGGAAGAGAUAAGUGCUGAAAGCAUCUAAGCACGAAACUUGCCCCGAGAUGAGUUCUCCCUGAGACUUUAAGUCUCCUGAAGGAACGUUGAAGACGACGACGUUGAUAGGUCGGGUGUGUAAGCGCAGCGAUGCGUUGAGCUAACCGAUACUAAUGAACCGUGAGGCUUAACCUU
rnacentral:rRNA from 1 species